rnacentral:piRNA from 1 species
UGAGGAAGCAUGAACACGAGCGCAGGGA